UGGGCAGGAGGCUGGCAAGCAGGCCCCUUCAAGUACAAGUGGCGAGGUUACUUUCUCCACAAUGAUUAUACUCCAACAACUGUGACAUGCCACCUGCACGCAAGACUACUCUCUGUGCAGUAAGAGCAGCCGAGGUACAUGCAUAAGCUUGUGCCCAGACAGGGGUGCCUCAACCCCGCAUGCAUGCCACAAUACCUACAAAUAUUUAUUGUGACCUAAAUGUAUGAUCCCAC